UUUUUCAUUUUUAGAGAUUUCAGCUUUAGAGAUUAACAUCAGGAAGAAGAGUUUUAUUAUACCACCACUGAAUAAUAAUUCAGCAUGCUUAAAAUGAAAUAAAGUUUCACAGACAUGAUAACAGAGCAUGAGACUCAAUCUGAGCUUGAAGUUCUGCUCAGGGUGUCAGAGGCUGUAUAACUAUAUGACAAAUAUUCUGUUUCAAUUAAAAUUCACACUACUCAUCACUUAGGAAUAGGGAUGGGUAUCGUUUGAAUUUUAUCGAUACCAACAUCGAUACCAGUACUUAUCGAUACUGUUAUCGAUUCUACUCUCUAUAAUUUGGUGCAAAAAGAUAAUGUGAAAAUUUCAAGUUAUUUUAUUUCUGCUAAACUUUAGUACUGCAGUUUACAAAUGCCUCUGAGCAAACAGAAAAGGACACAAAGCACAUUUUUUAAAUAAAAAGGCCCUUCAAAGAGAAAGAGAGAGAGAGAGAGAGAGAGAGAGAGAGAGAGAGAGAGAGAGAGAGAGAGAGAGAGAGAGAGAGAGAGAGAGAGCGAGAGCGAGAGCGAGAUUUCCUCAGCAUACCACAGCACAACAUAUUUUUGAAUAGCAUGUGCAUAGGAGCACAGCAGAAUGUAAUAGAGAAUUCUGGCGUCUAUAGCUAUUUUUAUUUAAGAAAAUCAACAUAUUUUUUUGUCAGGGAGCAAGUCAUGAACAAAAAUCAACAGGCUAAAGAACACUUAGACAAGGAACCUUUGCCUAUGGUUUAAAAAUACUAUAGCAAAAACAACUAGCCUAAUGUAAAUUUCAAGCAUUAUUAAAGACAAGUAAAACACUAAUUAAAAGAGGACAAAUAAAAAAUUAACAAUCGCAACAAAUAAAUACAACUGAGCAAAGAUAUGAUUGAAGUAACCAGUGUUUAAGAUGUUUAGGUAUUCAGGUACAGAAACUGUAAUCAAACGUAAAAUAACACCACUUUAUAAAUAUACAUUACAAAUAGAGUUACAAAAGUUACUCAGUAAAGAACGAGUGAAUUUUCUCUUUGUCUUUUGUUGUUUGAUUAGUGUUGUCAUAGAGACGGUAGCAGGAAUUGUCACUUUAAGAGCUGCAUGGAUCUGCGCUGUACACGUUUCCUUGGUUACCGCUGUCAACAAAGCAGCACUGCGCUUAUAAAUAGCUGCUUUAUUCAGAAGUAAGAAAAAAAUAAAAUGCCAUUGCCAUCUAAACUUUUCUGAAGACAGUAAUAGUACUUCCUUUCAGAGAUACAUUCAUAUAACCCCUCACCCCUAAUUGAAUAUGUAUAUUUUCUUCCUAUAUUUCAAGCAUCGUGAACAGUGAGCUGCUCUGUCUGCUACAGAUUUUUCUCCUCUUCGCGUCCGUCUUCAGCGUCUCUGGCUUCUGUUAACGGCCAUUUACAGACUCAGACAUGAUCUGGGCUAUUUACCUUUAUCACUGUCCCAGUAGCUCCCGAAAAUAACAGAAAAUAAAUACAAAAAUACAGUACAAGGACUGGAGAAAUGUAAUGUAUUUUUCUACUCAUAUUUCUGUUAUUUUCGCGAGCUACUGGGACAGUGAUAAAGAUCAACAAGUCGAUGCACACAAAAGAAUCGAUAAGAGGAAUCGAAUUUUUUUAUUUUAUAACAAGUAUUUGAUUCCUGACAUCGAGUAUUCAAUUUUCGAUACCAAACCUUAACUAGCACUGGCUAAAGACUUAUAUUUUAUGAUGUUAUAAAGUUGGAGCUGGGAGACGAUGGAGACAUAUAGUAAAUACAGCGCAUUGCUUGAGGUAGAUGGCGUGUUUUGUUUGUAAAUCUUUCAUUAUAUUUCUAGUGUUGCCUCCUUUUUGAAAAAUGACAAGCAGCAGCUUCUAAUUGCCAUUAACACCGAAGCAUACGGAGAUAAAACAACGCGAGUAUCGAUAUCGAUAACCCAACAAACACAGAACGUUGGCACAACGUAGCCAACCUUCUAACAACGUUUUAACAACGUGGCCAAAAGGUUGCUAUAACUACGUUGCGUUGAGAAGGUUGUUACAGCGUUGUCACAAUGUUGACAUCUUACCACUGCUCAGUUUCAUUGCUCAAGGUUGCGCUUAGGUUGUCUGGACUACCACUGGACGACAUAAACUCGUCACUGCCCUGAAUAUCAGCAUUUUAAAUUUCAACCGACCUAACGGCCGUCUCAUUCUUCAUCGAGCAACGAUAGGUGAGUAUUGUUUUUAAUUUACCUCCGCUAAACAAGAUACGUAAAUAUUCAAACACAAUAUUCCGUGUCAAUGUGACAUUUACACCAGGGGCGGCGCUAGGGGUGGGCGAAGGGAGCCCCGAAUGUUUUUCCGAAUCUUUCAGAUUUGAGGUUUCUUAACAGUGCUGUCAAAAUAUUAUUUUUCUAAACAUAUAUCUCUAUUAAAAUAUGUUAGACAGUUCAAUACCGCUUUUCUACAGUAUACACCGGCAGCGAUUUCUCUUCUCUCCGACAGCGAGUUCACGCACACCGCAGUUGUACAGAGCCACGCCUCCUGUCACUCAGCGGCAGGCCUCGAGACUCUCGUUCGGCCCGGUUGAAGGGUUUUUGUUAUGAUAUAACAGCUGAUAUGACAACUUUAGCACAUUUGUCAGCUAAACAUUCAUUCAGUGUUUCCCAUUAAUGACCCUAUGCCGCCAUUGUUUCAUAAUGAACCGAAAAUUUAAAACAUACUAAAUGUAUAGCCUAAAUGGUCUCAACGUUGUAUUUUGCCAACGAACUAAAAUCGAAACCGUGAUAUGGCUUUGUGCCUUUAUAAAACAGCAAAAGACAGCCUGUUUGUGCUGCAUGUUUCUAAAGAGAAGUGCGCACAUUUGCUCACGCGAUCAGAUGAUCAAAAAAAAAAAAACGGUUUAUCUCUUGCAAGUGAAGAAAUUAGGCCUACAAAAGUAUUGUAAUUUCCCUAUACUGUAUUGUAAAGUAACUACUUAUAAAAUGUUCAUUUAUUUUACAGUGCAUUUGUUGCAAUAUAUGGAUAUUACUGUCAUAUGAAUAAUUAAGGCCUAAAUCAUAUUGUAAUAUUGUUGUAGGCCUAAUUAUUGUUUGGCAUCCUAAAACACCAGUGUCAAUGUAAUGUAGACUGAGACUCUAUAUCACAACUAAAAAGAUGUACAUUUUAUGAACUUUACUCCAGUAUACUACUAUAAAGUUCCUUUCAUGACAGUAAAGCUGUUAACGGAAAGUUAAAUUGUCAUUAGACAAAAUAUAGAUUUGGGCUAAGCCCCGAAUGUUUACAAUGUCUGGCUCCACCCCUGAUUUACACUAUGUGAAUUUUCUCAUACAUUACAUAUACACAUAUAUACAUAUUAUAUAUAUAUAUAUAUAUAUAUAUAAAAAAUAAAAAAAAAAAGAGAGAGAGAAAAAUAACAAAAUUGCUUUCCUUUCAGAUAACUUCAGUGCACAAGGGCAAAAUUUUACUUUAAAUAACAGUAAGUAAUAUUGUUUCAUAUUUUAAAUAAUCCUUAUCAGCAGAUGUUCUUACAAACUGAAAUUAUAUUACAGAUUUCCAGUUAAACGUUCUAAUGAAACUAGGUAAAAUAAUCGCAACGCAAGAAGAGCAUUCUCUGCUGAUUCGACGACUACUGCAGGCAAGAGAGGAUGAUACAGGGCCAGAGAACCCGAUCCCUGCUGUUGAUAAUUGACCUGAUUUUCUUUCAUUUGAGGAGAAACUGAGAGUGGAUGAGGAGCUUCAAAGAAAAACAGUUAAAUAUCUUUCUUCACUCGGAGGGCCGAACUACACAGAAACAGUGCGGUGACUGAUGCGAAAAAUUGCAACUUCAGAAGUGUGGGCACAGUAUAGUGUCAAAGAAAGGAAGAGAAAACUUGAAGAACUUUGUGUUUACCGAGUUCUACUAAGGGCAAUAAUGAAAUCACAGCCUGGGUCCACCAGUAUGGAUGCUGAAGGCCAUAUUGCAGAGACGCUGAAACAUGCACCAGGCCUGGUUAGGAAGAAGGCUAAUCGACCAGUUACCCCACAAUUACAAGAUGGUUCAUUGGAUCUCUUUUCAUUAUAAUUUGAAUUUUACCUGUGCCUGCAGUGCAGCCCUCUCUGUUCCCGGAUGGUCAACUACACUCCCCUGUUUGCCAUGUACAGAACCUAUUUUUGUUCAUUAAACGUUUUGAUCUGCCUUUGUUUUUUUAUUUUAUAUUAUUUAUUUAUUAUUUAAAAUGUACACAAAUAUAUUGGCAGGGAGGGUGGGAAGUUGUUGAAAUAUAUAUAAAAUAUAUUUUCUUUGGAUAUUUACUUGUUAUCUUCCAUGUUUUUUAAUAAAAGUAUGUUGAAUAAAUAUAUAUAUAUAAUCAUAUACAAUUACUUUUUGGUAUUAUUUUUAUUCAUAUAUUAUAUUAUAUUAUUAUUAUAACAAAUGCCUUUU